GACGGGUUAGCACAGCUGGUGAGAGCUUGGUGCUAAUGACACCAAGGUCAUGGGUUCUCUCCCAUUACAGGGCA